UCAAAACACAGUAAACAACAUACUAGUAAAGAUUAUUAAAAACAAUAAUAAACAAUGAUAAAAAUAAAAGGCAAGAACUAUAAUAAUACAACUAGUACCAUGACAAAAGUCACCCUUAGCAACACAACACUACACUACCUACUAACCUUCUAUCCUAUUAUGUGUCAUCCACACCCUCCUAUUUAAAGGUCAUAUCUUCAGUAUCCUAAAGUUGUGUUAUAUCCUACCUUAUCACUUCUUUCUAAUACUUAUUCGGUCUACCUCUGCACUCCUCAUACAUAUUAGUUAGUUGUUUUAGGACUACAAUAUAUACUUUUAAGUUUCAUAUAUUUCAAUUUUCAGUUAUUUUAGAAGGUAGUUACCAUGGUUAACACUAUGACUUAAAAAUAAAACUGAUCUAUUUCAGUUUAUUUCUAGUAAUGUUUAUGUAUCUAUUUUUCUAUAUAAUUAAUAUUACUCUUUAUAAGUUUUCUCUAAGUCAUCUUCAUCAUUUUUAGUUCCUUAUAUUCUCCUGCUUUCUUUCUUUUUUUGUAGCAAACUAGACAAUGAUUUCAUUGUCUUAUCUGCAAUUUUCUUAUUAAAAACUAACAGUCAGUAUCAAAGUAGUUUUCAUCUUAAGGGGUAUGUGAUCGAGUUGGAGAAGCCAUGGAUGCUGGAGCAAGUCUCACCAAUUGCUCCGUUGGUCUUUGAUGGAGAUUAAGAUAACUAUCAGAUUUAGGCAGUACGAAUGGGGACAUACAUGGAUGCUUUAAAAUCUCUGAGAAGUUGUGGAAGAGGAUUGCGAUAUUCGGUCUACCUCUGCACUCCUCAUACAUAUUAGUUAGUUGUUUUAGGACUACAAUAUAUACUUUUAAGUUUCAUAUAUUUCAAUUUUCAGUUAUUUUAGAAGGUAGUUACCAUGGUUAACACUAUGACUUAAAAAUAAAACUGAUCUAUUUCAGUUUAUUUCUAGUAAUGUUUAUGUAUCUAUUUUUCUAUAGAAUUAAUAUUACUCUUUAUAAGUUUUCUCUAAGUCAUCUUC
rnacentral:lncRNA from 1 species